rnacentral:rRNA from 1 species
GACGAAUGCUGGCUGCGUGCUUAACACAUGCAAGUCGAACGGAGAAGGAGAGCUUGCUCUCCGGAUCAGUGGCGAACGGGUGAGUAACACGUGGGCAACCUGCCCCUCACUCUGGGAUAACGCCGGGAAACCGGCGCUAAUACCGGAUACGACCAGGCGCGACAUCUCGCCCGGUGGACAGAAUUUCUGUGAGGGAUGGGCCCGCGGCCUAUCAGCUUGUUGGUGGGGUAACGGCCCACCAAGGCGACGACGGGUAGCCGGCCUGAGAGGGCGACCGGCCACACUGGGACUGAGACACGGCCCAGACUCCUACGGGAGGCAGCAGUGGGGAAUAUUGCGCAAUGGGCGAAAGCCUGACGCAGCGACGCAGCGUGAGUGAAGAAGGCCUUCGGGUUGUAAAGCUCUCUCGGCCGGGAAGAAAUCGCACGGGCUAAUACCCUGUGUGGAUGACGGUACCGGAAUAAGAAGCACCGGCUAACUAC